GAGUUUGAUUAUGGCUCAGAUUGAACGCUGGCGGCAUGCUUUACACAUGCAAGUCGGACGGCAGCACGGGUGCUUGCACCUGGUGGCGAGUGGCGAACGGGUGAGUAAUGCAUUGGAACGUACCGAGUAGUGGGGGAUAACUGUCCGAAAGGAUAGCUAAUACCGCAUACGACCUCAGGGUGAAAGCAGGGGACCUUCGGGCCUUGCGCUAUUUGAGCGGCCAAUGUCUGAUUAGCUAGUUGGUGGGGUAAAGGCCUACCAAGGCGACGAUCAGUAGCGGGUCUGAGAGGAUGAUCCGCCACACUGGGACUGAGACACGGCCCAGACUCCUACGGGAGGCAGCAGUGGGGAAUUUUGGACAAUGGGCGCAAGCCUGAUCCAGCCAUGCCGCGUGUCUGAAGAAGGCCUUCGGGUUGUAAAGGACUUUUGUACGGGAAGAAAAGGCAGAUGCUAAUAUCAUUUGC
rnacentral:rRNA from 1 species